rnacentral:rRNA from 1 species
UGGGGAAUUUUGGACAAUGGGGGCAACCCUGAUCCAGCCAUGCCGCGUGCGGGAAGAAGGCCUUCGGGUUGUAAACCGCUUUUAGUCGGGAAGAAAAGGCAUCUCCUAAUACGGGGUGUUCUUGACGGUACCGGCGGAAUAAGCACCGGCUAACUACGUGCCAGCAGCCGCGGUAAUACGUAGGGUGCGAGCGUUAAUCGGAAUUACUGGGCGUAAAGCGUGCGCAGGCGGUUCGUUAAGUCUGAUGUGAAAGCCCCGGGCUCAACCUGGGAAUGGCAUUGGAGACUGGCGGGCUGGAGUGUGGCAGAGGGGGGAGGAAUUCCGCGUGUAGCAGUGAAAUGCGUAGAGAUGCGGAGGAACACCGAUGGCGAAGGCAGCCCCCUGGGCCAACACUGACGCUCAGGCACGAAAGCGUGGGGAGCAAACAGGAUUAGAUACCCUGGUAGUCCACGCCCUAAACGAUGUCGACUAGGUGUUGGGGAAGCGAUUCCUUGGUACCGUAGCUAACGCGUGAAGUCGACCGCCUGGGGAGUACGACCGCAAGGUUA